CCCUAAUUAUAAGACCCUUUUGAGAAUUUUUUUUGUCCCUUUUUAUAAGACCCCUUUGCUAUUUCCAACUACAUUAAUUAUUUCUUUACAUGCAUGCCCCUAUUUAUUAUACAUAAUUUUCUUCAAUCAGCAAUAAAUAUCAUGUUAAAAACAUAAACCAAUUCUCUCUUAAAGGAUAAAAUUGUAAAAACAAUAGUAAUUACAAACAUAUUUAAUACAAAUAUCCACUAUUUUAAUUCCCGUUAUUUUUUCAAAAGGGUCCUAUA
rnacentral:lncRNA from 1 species